ACUUUUGAGGAUUUGAUCCUGGUCCAGGAUGAACGCUGGCGGCGUGGAUAAGGCAUGCAAGUCGAACGGUACUUCAGCCGCAAGGCUGAAGUACAGUGGCGAACGAGUUAGUAGUACCUUGGAAUCUACCCAAGAGUUGGGCAUAAUUCGUCGAAAGGCGAACUAAUUCCCAAUAGUUCCCGCAAGGGUAAAGGCAGUUUACUGCCGCUUUUGGAGGAGCCUCGGUCCCAUCAGCUUGUUGGUAGGGUAAUGGCCUACCAAGGCUACGACGGGUAGGGGAGGUGAGAGCCUGACCCCCAACGAGGGUACUGAGAUACGGACCCUACACCUACGGGUGGCUGCAGUCGAGAAUAUUCCACAAUGGGCGAAAGCCUGAUGGAGCGACGCCGCGUGCAGGAUGAACCCCUUCGGGGCGUAAACUGCUUUUCUAUCAGAUAAAGUCGUGUCGCUACGCGACACUCCAAAUUCUAAAUUCUAAUUUCUAAACUCUAAACAAGCUCUAAAUUCAAAAUCCAAAUAUUCAAAACAAAAAAGUUUUGAGUUUCGGUCAUUUGAGUUUUGAUAUUGUUUAGGAUUUAGGAUUUAGAGCUUAGGAUUUCCAGGGGUGCCGCGCAGCGGCACGACUGAUCGUAUGGUAGGAAUAAGAGGUUGCAAACUUCGUGCCAGCAGCAGCGGUAAUACGGAGACCUCAAGCGUUAUCCGGAUUUAUUGGGCGUAAAGAGCACGCAGGAGGCCUAGCGUGUCUUUCGGUUAAAUCUUAGGGCUCAACCCUAAGGCCGCCGGAGAAACUACUAGGCUAGAGGACGUUAGAGGAGAGCGGAACACAUGGUGUAGGGGUGAAAUCCGUUGAUAUCAUGUGGAACACCAAAGGCGAAGGCAGCUCUCUAGGGCGUUCCUGACUCUCAAGUGCGAAAGCGUGGGGCGAGAAUGGGAUUAGAUACCCCAGUAUUCCACGCCGUAAACGAUGCAGACUAGCUGUUUCGAGUAUCGACCCUCGGAGUGGCGAAGCUAACGCGUUAAGUCUGCCGCCUGGGAAGUACGAGCGCAAGCUUAAAACUCAAAGGAAUAGACGGGGACUCGCACAAGCGGUGGAGCAUGUGGUUCAAUUCGAUGAUAAACGAGGCACCUCACCAGGGCUUGACAUCCUGACGAAGACCGUCCGAAAGGAUGGUUGUCAUUACGACGGCAGGACAGGUGCUGCAUGGUUGUCGUCAGCUCGUGUCGUGAGACGUUCCCUUAAGUGGGGUAACGAGCGCAACCCCUAUUUUGUGUUACAAGUGUCACAAGAGACUGCCGCACUAUAUGCGGAGGAAGGCGGGGAUGACGCCAAAUCAGCAUGGCCCUUUGAUGCCCUGGGCGACACACAUGCUACAAUGGCCGAGACAGAGGGUAGCCAAGCCGCGAGGCGGAGCCAAUCCCUUAAACUCGGCCCCAGUUCGGAUUGGAGUCUGAAACUCGACUCCAUGAAGUAGGAAUCGCUAGUAAUCGCGGAUCAGAAUGCCGCGGUGAAUACGUUAUCGAGUCCUGUACUCACCGCCCGUCAUACCAAGGGAGCCGGGAGUACCUGAAGCCCAGCCCAAAGUCCGCAGGACUUUGGGAAGCUCUAAAUUCUAAUCUCUAAACUCUAAACAAACUCUAAAUUCAAAAUUCAAAUGUUCAAAGCACGAAAGGUUUUGAAUUUUGGUCAUUUGGGUUUUGAGAUUGUUUAGGAUUUAGGAUUUUGAGUUUAGAAUUUCCAAAACCUGUAGGUUUUGGGCUGGGUUAGGGUAAGUUCGGUGACAUGGGUAAAGUCGUAACAAGGCACGGGUAGCGGAAGCUGUCCGUGGAUCAAUUCGUUU
rnacentral:rRNA from 1 species